rnacentral:rRNA from 1 species
UUUAUGGAGAGUUUGAUCCUGGCUCAGGAUGAACGCUGGCGGCGUGCCUAAUACAUGCAAGUCGAGCGAACGGACGAGAAGCUUGCUUCUCUGAUGUUAGCGGCGGACGGGUGAGUAACACGUGGAUAACCUACCUAUAAGACUGGGAUAACUUCGGGAAACCGGAGCUAAUACCGGAUAAUAUUUUGAACCGCAUGGUUCAAAAGUGAAAGACGGUCUUGCUGUCACUUAUAGAUGGAUCCGCGCUGCAUUAGCUAGUUGGUAAGGUAACGGCUUACCAAGGCAACGAUGCAUAGCCGACCUGAGAGGGUGAUCGGCCACACUGGAACUGAGACACGGUCCAGACUCCUACGGGAGGCAGCAGUAGGGAAUCUUCCGCAAUGGGCGAAAGCCUGACGGAGCAACGCCGCGUGAGUGAUGAAGGUCUUCGGAUCGUAAAACUCUGUUAUUAGGGAAGAACAUAUGUGUAAGUAACUGUGCACAUCUUGACGGUACCUAAUCAGAAAGCCACGGCUAACUAC